rnacentral:rRNA from 1 species
AGCAGCCGCCGCGGUAAUACGAAGGGUGCAAGCGUUAAUCGGAAUUACUGGGCGUAAAGCGUGCGUAGGCGGUUUGUUAAGUCUGUUGUGAAAUCCCCGGGCUCAACCUGGGAAUGGCAAUGGAUACUGGCAAGCUAGAGUGUGUCAGAGGAUGGUGGAAUUCCCGGUGUAGCGGUGAAAUGCGUAGAGAUCGGGAGGAACAUCAGCGGCGAAGGCGGCCAUCUGGGACAACACUGACGCUGAGGCACGAAAGCGUGGGGAGCAAACAGGAUUAGAUACCCCUGUAGUCCCUGUCUCUUAUAC